rnacentral:rRNA from 1 species
GACGAACGCUGGCGGCGUGCUUAACACAUGCAAGUCGAACGAAGAGCGAUGGAAGCUUGCUUCUAUCAAUCUUAGUGGCGAACGGGUGAGUAACGCGUAAUCAACCUGCCCUUCAGAGGGGGACAACAGUUGGAAACGACUGCUAAUACCGCAUACGAUCUAAACUCGGCAUCGAGGAUAGAUGAAAGGUGGCCUCUACAUGUAAGCUAUCACUGAAGGAGGGGAUUGCGUCUGAUUAGCUAGUUGGAGGGGUAACGGCCCACCAAGGCGAUGAUCAGUAGCCGGUCUGAGAGGAUGAACGGCCACAUUGGGACUGAGACACGGCCCAGACCCCUACGGGAGGCAGCAGUGGGGAAUCUUCCGCAAUGGACGAAAGUCUGACGGAGCAACGCCGCGUGAGUGAUGACGGCCUUCGGGUUGUAAAGCUCUGUUAAUCGGGACGAAAGGCCUUCUUGCGAAUAGUGAGAAGGA